rnacentral:misc_RNA from 1 species
GAUGAAGAACGUAGCGAAAUGCGAUAAGUAAUGUGAAUUGCAGAAUUCAGUGAAUCAUCGAAUCUUUGAACGCACAUUGCGCCCGCUGGUAUUCCGGCGGGCAUGCCUGUUCGAGCGUCAUUUCAACCCUCAAGCCCCCGGGUUUGGUGUUGGGGAUCGGCUCUGCCUUCUGGCGGUGCCGCCCCCGAAAUACAUUGGCGGUCUCGCUGCAGCCUCCAUUGCGUAGUAGCUAACACCUCGCAACUGGAACGCGGCGCGACCAUGCCGUAAAACCCCAACUUCUGAAUGUUGACCUCGGUUCAGGUAGGAAUACCCGCUGAACUUAAGCAUAUCAAUAAGCGGAGGA